GGUCAAAGUAAUAAGAGUCUAUGGUGAAUGCCUAGGAGCUUUAAGGCGAAGAAGGUCGUGGUAAGCUGCGAAAAGCUUGGGGGAGAAGCAAACAUUUAUUGAUCCCAAGAUUACCGAAUGGAGUAAUCCAGCUAGCAAGAUGCUAGCUAUCUAUUAUCUAAAUAAUAGAGGUGAUACCAGGGGAAGUGAACCAUCUAAGUACCCUGAGGAAAAGAAAUCAAAGAGAUUCCCUUAGUAGUGGCGAGCGAAAGGGGAAUAGCCCAAACUUUAAAUGUGUCAAGUUGCAGAGCGUUGCAUUUAGAGGGUUGUAGGACGUUUAGGCUUAGUCUGUGAUAAGCAAAAAAGUUACAAAAUAUUUAUAUAGAAGAAUAAUCUGGAAAGUUUAACCAAAGAAGGUGAUAGUCCUGUAAUUUAAAUGUAAAUAUCUUUUUAAAAUGUUCCUGAGUAGGACGAGGCACGAGAAACCUUGUUUGAAGCUGGGGAGACCACUCUCCAAGGCUAAAUACUAAAAAGCUACCGAUAGAGAAGAGUACCGUGAGGGAAAGGUGAAAAGAACCCCGGGAGGGGAGUGAAAUAGAACUGAAACCGUAGACUUACAAGCAGUCAAAGCCGCGAUUUAUUGCGGUGAUGGCGUGCCUUUUGCAUAAUGAACCUGC
rnacentral:rRNA from 1 species